rnacentral:lncRNA from 10 species
CGGGGCCUUUGCAGCCUCCAUACUUAGCGAUGGCCUCCUGGACCCACUUUCUCUCUCAAACUGUCUUUUCUCAUUCCUUUGACUCUGCUGGACUUCGUCAUCCCCACGACCCGGUGUUGAGUCUGAUCACCCAACAUCAUCAGGAUAGAAGCUUCCCUCUCCUCCUCCAGACCUUGUGGUGUGCACGUGGGAGUCCAGGGACUAGAAUACUCAUUUUCAAAGCCUGACAUUGGACCCGGGAGACAGGGAAAAACCAUCCUCAGGAAGUCACAGCGCAGAGUGAGGCAGUGAGGAAAUAAAAAUAGAGUCCGCGCUUUCAAGUGUUUCCUGAUCUGCUGGGGAAAAUGGUCAUAUUAACACAUGGAGUCAUGGCACAGUGUGUGCUAAGGAUCAUGGUAAAGGUGUACACAGUGAUUUGCUAACAAGAGGGAUAGAAGGUGUGGCUCAGGGAAUGACACAGCUGUCUGAAAGAGUCAAAAUGUACCACAGAGAACGUGACAGAGAUCUGGAUCUCAAAGAAAUGAGAGGUUGCCUAGGGAGCAACAACAAGGAGGGCAUUCCUGGCAGAGGAAAUGGCAUGUGCAAAGAGACAUCAAGAGGAUGAAGCAUUAGAAAUAUAACUAAAUUAUGGUUAUAGCUUGGGUGCCUAUUAAUAGAUCUGCUCAAUAUUAGGCAAAAACAAUAACAAUUGAGAAUUUGUAUAUCAUCUUUGGUGUCUUCUUUGAUAACUUAUUUUGUGUAUGUGUGUUUUUCUUUCCUGCUACUACUCUGGAGACUUGUUCCACUGGUGACCUUUAUGCAUUCUAAACAAUCGUAAUUUCACAGAGUAAGUUGUUCUCUUCUCCCUAUGUGUUUUGUCACUAGCCAUUGUUUUAAAGUAGCUUGCUUGGUUUUUUGUAUUGCAUCUUGUGAAAGCCUAGAUGCCUAGGGGCUUUCAUACAAAUGUAGAAGUCAAAAUACAUUUCUUCUUGGAAGGUAAUAAAGUGUGAAUGUUUUCAACAAAUAAAG